rnacentral:rRNA from 1 species
UGGGGAAUUUUGGACAAUGGGCGAAAGCCUGAUCCAGCAAUGCCGCGUGUGUGAAGAAGGCCUUCGGGUUGUAAAGCACUUUUGUCCGGAAAGAAAUCCUUGGCUCUAAUACAGUCGGGGGAUGACGGUACCGGAAGAAUAAGCACCGGCUAACUACGUGCCAGCAGCCGCGGUAAUACGUAGGGUGCAAGCGUUAAUCGGAAUUACUGGGCGUAAAGCGUGCGCAGGCGGUUUGCUAAGACCGAUGUGAAAUCCCCGGGCUCAACCUGGGAACUGCAUUGGUGACUGGCAGGCUAGAGUAUGGCAGAGGGGGGUAGAAUUCCACGUGUAGCAGUGAAAUGCGUAGAGAUGUGGAGGAAUACCGAUGGCGAAGGCAGCCCCCUGGGCCAAUACUGACGCUCAUGCACGAAAAGCGUGGGGAGCAAACAGGAUUAGAUACCCUGGUAGUCCACGCCCUAAACGAUGUCAACUAGUUGUUGGGGAUUCAUUUCCUUAGUAACGUAGCUAACGCGUGAAGUUGACCGCCUGGGGAGUACGGUCGCAAGAUUAAAACUCAAAUGAAUUGACGGGGU